GACGAACGCUGGCGGCGUGCUUAACACAUGCAAGUCGAACGGUGAACCCGCUUCGGUGGGGGAUCAGUGGCGAACGGGUGAGUAACACGUGGGCAACCUGCCCCCGGCUCUGGGAUAACUCCAAGGAAAUUGGGGCUAAUACCGGAUAUGUCCGCUGACCGCAUGGUCUGGUGGUGGAAAGGGUUUCCGGCUGGGGGAUGGGCCCGCGGCCUAUCAGCUUGUUGGUGGGGUAGUGGCCUACCAAGGCGACGACGGGGAGCCGGCCUGAGAGGGUGACCGGCCACACUGGGACUGAGACACGGCCCAGACUCCUACGGGAGGCAGCAGUGGGGAAUAUUGCGCAAUGGGCGGAAGCCUGACGCAGCGACGCCGCGUGGGGGAUGACGGCCU
rnacentral:rRNA from 1 species